GAUGAAGAACGUAGCGAAAUGCGAUACGUAAUGUGAAUUGCAGAAUUCAGUGAACCAUCGAAUCUUUGAACGCACAUUGCGCCCGGCAGUAAUCUGCCGGGCAUGCCUGUCCGAGCGUCAUUUCUCCCCUCGAGCGCAGCUUUCCCCCCCGGGGGAGGGCCGCGCCCGGUGUUGGGGCGCUACGGAGGAGCCCAGCGCUCCCCCGUAGGCCCCGAAAUGUAGUGGCGGUCCCGCCGCGGCGCCCCCUGCGUAGUAGUUUUACAACUCGCAUCGGGUCCCGGCGGAGGCCAGCCGUCAAACCCCCCAACUUCAAUAGUUUGACCUCGGAUCAGGUAGGGUUACCCGCUGAACUUAAGCAUAUCAAUAAGCGGAGGA
rnacentral:misc_RNA from 1 species